UUCUUUCUUUCUUUCUUUCUUUCUUUCUUUCUUUCUUUUUUCCUGUUUGUCUCCUUUACGCAGAAAAGAGUUCCUAAUUUCUCGGCACAUUUAAUGCUUAAAAAAAUAAAAGAAAACAUUUAAUAUACAGGAAAUUGUAAAUAAGUAAUCGCAAAAUUAUACGUUGUUGGAAAAUAAUUUGAUGUCAAAUUUAAACUAAUUUUCUGAUCAAGUAAAUUUACAGGAAACAGCUUAUUCACUUACAUUUGGUCAUGUGAUAAAUGAACAAAUAACCUAAUUAGUAGAUUAAUCAGUUAACUAUUAUUGGUGACAGUUAUAUUAGUUAUCAUUUGUUUUCUGUACAGUGAAGAAAUAUGCAAGCGCAUCAGUCAAUUAACCAAAGGUUGUAACUGGCUCGUUUUUUGUUGAUCUGGAUGGUAAUUAUAAAGUCAAUUUUAUUAAAUUUUUUUUCUUGAGUCCCUGAAUGCUGUAAAACUUAGAACUCUCAUCAUGUCUGUCUGUCUGGAAGCUGAUCAACCAGCAACAUGCACUGCAAUGCAUCAUGUUCUGAUUUUACACAAGUAUUUGCACCCUGUGAACUUUGACCCAUGUUGCGUUACAACUGAAGAUUUCAACGUAUUUUAUAGAUUUUAUGGUAAACCAAGAUAAAUUAGAAUAGAUCUGCAAAGUGGAACAAAAAUGAGAUAUUGUUUUUUAAAACUGUUUUUCAAAGCAAAAAUCUGAAAAGUGUGGUGAGCAUGCGUGCUCUUCUGGCCCAAGUGGCUGUGUGUGAGGACAGAGACAGUGAGCACAAGCCACUGUUUGUACGCUUGACAUGUUUAUGCACAGGGUUUUCUUCUCCCAUUGAAAUGUGUUUGGAUCAUGUGUUCAUAUGCCUUGGCUGGACUGUUAGGACCAGUUUUAAUCUUAUGAAGCGUUUGGGAUUUGUCCCACUAAAUUUGGUUUUUCAGGAAUCUGGCCAGUCAGUGAACAGAAGAAGGGGUCGUGAACGAUGGCAUUGAUUUUCUGCUCUGUUUUAUAAUUUUAGUCCACCUGUUUCAGUAAUGGCAGCGGAGGACGCAAAGGGAGCCAUUCAGUCUGUUGGUCGCGCUUCCAAAUAUUGGGACAUUAAAGUCAAAGCAAAAGAAAUGUCUACGUUAUUUUAUGAUAACAAAGUAGUUUGUUGUUGUUCGAUGCGCAUAGAGUGUUUUUAUAAUAUUUAAAACAUUUUCCAGCCAACAAAGAACCUACGUUCAACUGAAGCAUGUUGCUUCAUUCCUGCCAAUGGACGAUCAAGAGCAAUUCAGAAACAUUAUAUCAAAGAAAGAGACAAAAGAGGAGGAAACAAACCCUGAAGCCUCUAAAAUAUAACAAUUUAAUCACAUCAAAAACAGAAUAAGAAAGAACUUUUUUUCACAUUGAUCAUUGUGUAAUAUUAAUGAGUGUUUGGGAAUCUGAAAGGAGUUUGCAGUGUGCUGCUGCCUUCAGAGACUGUAAUGCAUUAUGCAGUAUAUGGUAUAUGCAGUGCAGAUAUGUUUGGAGCUGCUGGUGAGAAGAAUAAUAAUGCAGAGAGGAGGAGACAGUAUUCCUCUGAAUAGUUCCAGUUUUAACCUAAACUUACUCAUCAAGUAUCUAAUAAAACAAGGGGGGAUGUUAACUAGACUGUGUUCAUCUACAGAGUGUUGGGAUACGAAUCAUAAAGGCUUUUAAAUAAUCCCCUAACUUAAUGUGUAAACACAAAAAUGGUCAGUUUUAUGUUGUUUCUCCUCCAUACAGGAAGUAAAAAUAAAGGCUGAAAAAUCUGGAGACCUUCUAAACUUUGGCAACAAGAAGGACCUUCCUUGUUUAAUGCCAACAUGUUGGUGUUUGGGAUUCAAUGUGGGACUCAGAAGACAGGAGACAAAACAUCAUGCCUUCCUGUUUCCUGUAGGGGAGGAUUUUGAUGAAGGAGAUCAAUCAGGCAUUGAAACAUUAGAUGAUUUCCUCCACUGACCAACGAUGGAGGCCGUUCAGCUCCACGCAGCAGAGAUGUUUUUGGAUCUUUCUCUGGAUUUCUGCCUCAAAACAAUCCAGUGAAUGAGGUCUACAGGCAAUUCCUUUGAUUUCAUGCUUGGUGUUUGACCUUUGACCUGCACGGUCAACUGUGGGACCUUACAUAGACGGAUGUGAUCCUUUCCAAAUCAAUCCAGUCAACUGAGUUCACCACAGGUGGCUCCAUUUUACCUGUAGAAACAUCUCAAGGAUGAUCAGAGGAAACACUUCAGUUUUGAGCUUCAUUGGUAAAGGGUAAAGGUAAAGUAAAGGUAAAGUACAUACUUAUAUAAAUGUACCACAAGUACCACAUUGUCAUAAUGUAGUACUUGUGUGUACAAUGUUUUGAGGACAGAGAUUCAUUAAUACAAUUUUGAAUGAGGCUGCAAAAUGUGGAAAAAGUGAAGAGUUAUGAAAAAAUUCUGAAUUCACUGCAGGUUUGAAUCUAUUCAAUUUACCUUUAUAUUGUAAAUGUCUAUUUUCAGUAGGUUGGAUUAGUGCAACAAUGUCUUCACUGAUCUCUGUAAAACAAAAACAACAAAAAUAGCAGCUUAACAGAAUGUGAAAUUCUGUUACUGGUUUUAGAAACAUUAAAUGGUUUUGGGAUGGUAUAGAUUUCUGAGUUGUGGGUGAGAUAUGAACCAUGUGGACCCGUCAGGUCAUCAGAGAUCUCCUUACCCAGAUUCCCAGAGCCAGAAUCAAACCAGACGAGGCAGCAUUUAAGUUUCUAUGCUCCUCUGCUUUGGAACAAACUGUCUGUAAAUCUGAAAUGUGCAGAAACUCUUGAUUCCAUUAAAUCAGGACUGAAAAGAGUUUUGUUUACAGCAGCUAAUGAACUGUCUGCAAAAGGCUUUAUUUUCCGUUUUCCUUUCCUUUGACUUCCAGAGAAGCACAUUGGUCUGCUCUGUGUAUGAAUGUUGUUAUAAAAAAAUGAUUUAUUUAUAUUUGCUUUUUAUUACAGAGCUGACAAUCAGGUGACACAAAACACAUUGAGCUCAUCUGUUUCUGUAGUACAGCUAUACAACCAAAAUAUGUUAUUUCAACAUAAUUCAAUCUGUUUUGUGGCGCGCACCAAUCCAUCCUGCAGCAAAACAUCCCCACAGCAUGAUGCUGCCACCAUUGUACUUCAUAAUUGGGAUGGUAUCUCAUGGUAGCAAACCUUUUCCUUCUCCAGUGAAGGUCAUUAGGACCGCACACUUUAGCUGUGGUUUCUGUUUGUGCUGCUGAGGACGUUUUUACUCUGUGGAACAGAUGUUUUUAUUCUUCCUCAUUCAGUGAGCUGUAAGUUGGAAGCUUUAAAAGCCACGUCAUCGACACCUGGGCUAAGAAACUCCCAGAGUUCUCCAGCGUUGUCAAGGGAGGGCGGAGUCUGGCGCUGCCGGCCAAUCACACACAGAGUUGCUCAGGCUGUCUUUAUUCAUCAGUGUUUUUGUCUGAACUCUGAACCUUGUAUUUCUGGACUCUCCAACUACAUUGCAGUUGUAUUUAUCACAGUGCUGGAGGAAAAUCGGUUGAUGUUUGAUUUGUGUCUAAUAUUUGGUUGUUAACUUACAUAUUAAUAUUCUCAACAUGUUUCCUGUUGCCAUCAUAUCUUCAUUUUUGGCCCAUUUUGUCUGAUGAAUUGAAGCAGCCAAACAUAUGCAUACUUUGAUAUAGGUCGCUGAUCUUAUUAAAUAAAUACAUAUUAUUGGAUAUGCUUUAAUCCAAUGACUAUCUGAGUUCAUAAGCUGGAGUUUGAAUAUAUGCAUAAAAUUUAAUAAUUUCUGGAAAGUACAUUUUUUGUUUUGACUUAUUUUAGGAUUUUUUCAUAUUCAGUUCAUUCCUUUGUUCCUCAUUGUCUUAACAGUCCUGGUGCUUUUAUUCUGUGCUUUAGUAUUUACUGUGUGUUUCUAAUUUGCUCCCCGUUUCUCUGUAUGUUCUGUCAGUCAUUUCUCCCAUUUUCUCAGUUCAGCUUCAGUUCCAGGCCUUCCCUCACAGCUGCAGCCUGCAGCCAGCUCUUGGUCAGCUCCCUUUGUUAUCCCCACCAGCCUGUUUCCUUUUUUCUCCUCCUGUGAUUUCGUACUUUGAAUUUCCACUGGAUUUUAGUAUUUGAUUUUUCUUUAUAGAGUGAACUCGUAUUGAUCACCUCCCUGCUUCCUGCAACUGGCUCCUGCUCUUCAACGCUUAAGGACAAAAAAUGACAAUGAAGAUAAUUAGGGAUGAAAUUCUAUAAACAUUUGGGCUGAUAUCAAUAUCUGAUAUUAAUGCUGCUGUUAUAACUGAUAACCAGUGUUUAUCAAAUUUGAAUGUAUGUAUUUAGAUAGAAUGCAAAAGUUGCCACGUCGUCUAUUGCUGCUCUGCUUCAGUUAAACACCCCACAAUCCUGCUGCUUUACUAUCACUGUAGCCUGACUGAACAUAAACCACAUGGCCAACCCCCCCCGACUCCUCCCCCCCCUCCUGAUGCCCAAACAGCAAGAAAAGGGAAAUAAACAUCGGUUGUUAAUAUCAGCACAUCUCUCCUCAUUGGACGGAUAUGUCAGAAAUAACUAACAUUGGCCGACACCGAUGAUGAUGCUGAUGACACAGGUCAUCACUGGCUCGCCUCAAGCUCAUGUAUUUGAAAUGGCAGGGUGUGAAUUCAGUGAUUUGGACCAUAAAAAUGUUGAAAUCAUAGAACUUUACAGAACACUUAACAAAUGUAUUUUCUCUAGUCAUUGUUGGUGUUUUAACGGCCAUGAUGGCAGGUGAGGCAGAGCUUUUGACUGUAUUGAAAUCUCAUGGGGAAAGAUUUUGUUUGUAAUAGCGUCACAAAAUGUUGAGAUUUUCUUUGUCUAUAAACAUUGCAUAGUCCGGUUUUCAGGGCAGAACUGAUUUAUUGUAGAGACAACAGUAGUAAUGAAUAAAUAUAUGUAUAUAAAGA